rnacentral:rRNA from 1 species
CAGUCGCCGCGGUAAUACGAAGGGUGCAAGCGUUACUCGGAAUUACUGGGCGUAAAGCGUGCGUAGGUGGUGGUUUAAGUCCGUUGUGAAAGCCCUGGGCUCAACCUGGGAAUUGCAGUGGAUACUGGAUCACUAGAGUGUGGUAGAGGAUAGUGGAAUUUCCGGUGUAGCAGUGAAAUGCGUAGAGAUCGGAAGGAACAUCUGUGGCGAAGGCGACUAUCUGGGCCAACACUGACACUGAGGCACGAAAGCGUGGGGAGCAAACAGGAUUAGAUACCCGAGUAGUCCCUGUCUCUUAUAC